rnacentral:lncRNA from 1 species
CUGUGCAUCGAAUGAUCGUGAGACAUCUGUAACAACCAAACGUUGAUAAUUCAUCAGAUAAAAAAUAAGUAAUAGCCGAUCGGAGUCUGAUCCAAGACUGAGAGUCGAUUACCUUUCGAAUUCAGACGCGACUAAAGAAUCGUUUGUAUACAAAUCUACUGCAGUAUAUGGGAUAUAAUGUGAAGGUGAUUAUAAUUUAUGAGACAUUCACAUCAGAGCUCUAGCGCAACACAAACCGGACAGACAUUGCGCGUACCU